AUGCACACGUUGAGUCUGGGGUUCUGUCCCUGGGCGCCGAACCAGCCGGGGACAUGGCCCCCGGAGAGCUGCAGACCCCGGGGCUGGGGCAGUGCUCUGGGGAGGAUCCUGCCACCAGGUGGCGCUUCUCGGCCAGCCCAGGCCCAGGCCGCAGGGCCUGUUACUCCCAUUGCAGUUCUGCAGGUGAGAAAAGGAAGCUCCGAGUGCAUAUAUAGUAACUUGGAGAAAGUCGCAAGGGACGAAGGACCCUUCCCCGGACACAGGAAGCUUCUGGGGGAUGGGGACAGGGACUCAGGUGCAGAGAAAACCAGAGCUGCCACCGUGGGGACAGGGAAAGGGAGUCCACCCAGAGACAGCAGAGGCAGGAGCUGCCCUCCCUUCGCUCUCCGUGGCCCUGAGCGAGGGGCUGCCACCACCCAGAGCCUGGGAACCAGGGGCCAGUGCCUGGGGAUGGAGGCCAUGGUGGAGACAGGCCGGGGAGGAUGUGGCGGAGACAGAGGGAGGCCCAGGUCAGCUGGCACAGGGCAAGCAGCAGGUGAGCCGACCCCAGGGCCUUGCCCCCUUCCCAUGUUCACGCCCCCUCCCGUGUUCCUGCUGGCCCCCUUCCUGCUCUGUGAGGUCAACACGCAGGGGAACGGGGCAGAAGGGAAGUUCUCCCCACGCCCAGGGCUCUGCUCACUUGGGCCAGGGGUUGGAGGGUGGUCAUGGCACCAGGGCUGCUCUGAGCUACAGCCCCGAGGGGGGCCGGGCGAUGCCUCCUCCGUGCCAGGCUGUGUCAGGGCCCCCGGGAACCCCCAAGUCCCUGCCUCUGACCUCUGCAGAGCCCAGCAGGCGCCUCCCCGCCCUCGGCCACAGGCUCGGAGCUCGCGGCCCCCAGGGGGCGCUCAAGGACUGCUCAUCUGCGCGGCUCGGUCCGCCCGCUGCGCUCCUGCAGCCGCUGCUCCCCGCAGCCGUGGGCCGCACUGGCCCGGAGGACGAGGCGCUGCGCUGCGGGGAGGAAGAGAAACUAAAGGGGGAGACCGAGAACCCAGGGUCAGGAAGCUGAGAGCUAAAAUGACAACCGUGGGUCAGCGGCCCGCAACUUCAUUUCAUGACCUCUGGCCUCCAAAGCCGCUCUGCAAAGUGGUCAGUGCUCCUCAUUUUAUAGAUGAAGAUACUGAGGACCAGGGAGGCUGUGCACUGCCUGAGGUCACACGACUGCUGGGGCGGCGGGCGGGUCUGUCCGCAGGCGAUUGUACUCCAGGCACACGGCGGGGUAGAGCUUGGAAGUGGCCCGGGUGGGUGUCCCUGGGUGUGGAUGGAGUGACCCUGGAGCCACGUGGAGCCACGUUCAGACCCAGAGCUGAGCAGGACAGUGACCAGUAG
rnacentral:lncRNA from 1 species